rnacentral:rRNA from 1 species
UACGUAGGGUGCAAGCGUUAAUCGGAAUUACUGGGCGUAAAGCGUGCGCAGGCGGUUUUGUAAGUCUGUCGUGAAAUCCCCGGGCUCAACCUGGGAAUUGCGAUGGAGACUGCAAGGCUAGAAUCUGGCAGAGGGGGGUAGAAUUCCACGUGUGAGCAGUGAAAUGCGUAGAGAUGUGGAGGAACACCGAUGGCGAAGGCAGCCCCCUGGGUCAACACUGACGCUCCAGGCACGAAAGCGUGGGGAAGCAAAC